rnacentral:rRNA from 1 species
GAUGAACGCUGGCGGCGUGCCUAAUACAUGCAAGUCGAGCGAACAGACGAGGAGCUUGCUCCUCUGACGUUAGCGGCGGACGGGUGAGUAACACGUGGAUAACCUACCUAUAAGACUGGGAUAACUUCGGGAAACCGGAGCUAAUACCGGAUAAUAUAUUGAACCGCAUGGUUCAAUAGUGAAAGACGGUUUUGCUGUCACUUAUAGAUGGAUCCGCGCCGCAUUAGCUAGUUGGUAAGGUAACGGCUUACCAAGGCAACGAUGCGUAGCCGACCUGAGAGGGUGAUCGGCCACACUGGAACUGAGAAACGGUCCAGACUCCUACGGGAGGCAGCAGUAGGGAAUCUUCCGCAAUGGGCGAAAGCUUGACGGAGCAACGCCGCGUGAGUGAUGAAGGUCUUCGGAUCGUAAAACACUGUUAUUAGGGAAGAACAAAUGUGUAAGUAACUAUGCACGUCUUGACGGUACCUAAUCAGAAAGCCACGGCUAACUACGUG